rfam:Glycine soja cultivar W05 scaffold4250_19, whole genome shotgun sequence.
UUCUUAUUGGAUGAUGACUACCACACAUCAUGUUUUGAUUGACCAAUGACAACAAGAAUGCAUUUCAUAUUCCAUGGAUUCGACAUCCAAUCAAAAUAUGACACGUGACAAUCAUCAUCC